GGCUGGGGGGACCGAGGGUCCAGCCGCGUGCGAACACCACCCGGGGAAGGCCCUGCCAUCCGUGGCCCCCCACGCCCGGAGAGGGAUGCGGUGCGCCCUGAGAGCCCGGUAGCCUCGGAUCGCGGCGCUGCGGUGGCGAGGAUGGACGAGCCGUGGUGGGAAGGGCGCGUCGCCUCGGACGUCCACUGCACCCUGCGCGAGAAGGAGCUGAAGCUGCCCACCUUCCGUGCCCACUCCCCACUCCUGAAGAGCCGUCGCUUCUUUGUGGAUAUCCUGACCCUGCUGAGCAGUCACUGCCAGCUGUGCCCUGCAGCCCGGCAUCUGGCUGUCUACCUGCUGGACCACUUCAUGGACCGCUACAAUAU